UCUGCAGCAGCCCACCGAGCACCGUGACCCUGUGGCGGCCACAUCGCCCUGCGGUCGGCCCGCCCAGCUUCCAGAGGGCCUCUCCAGACCCGAGCCAGGAGGCCAGAGGGGAGAGCUCUGUCCGGGGCCUGCGCUGACCCUUCCGUCGGAGAGGAACAAAAUCGCAGAGAAACAACAGCCUCCGUGGCUGCCAACGCAGGAGGAAAGGCCACGGUUCCUGUAAGGAAGGGCUGGACAGGCGGUCCUGGGUCCCCGGGGAGAGCCGCUUCCUGCGUCUUUAUCUCGCCCUCGGCCCGCCCCGGCCUCCCUGCACUGCCCGCCAGCGGACACCACCUCACAGCGCACCAGAGCUGCAGGAGCGCCGGCCACCAUGCCCCUGCGGCCCCCGGCCCCAGUCCUGCUGUGUCUGCUGCUGGCCACCCUCAGCCGCCGCCUGGAAGCAGAUGCCGGACACAGCACGCCCGUGGCGGCCACUGCUGCAAAGCCAGCCAUCCCCACAGCCAGCGUGACGGCAGCACCCAACGCCCAGAGCACCGUGACGCCCGGAGCAGCCUCCUCAGGGGGCACCCUCGGCCUCCUUGUAGGAACAGCCCUGACGGCGUCUAAGCCCAGCUCCUCCCCAGCACCCACGGGAGCCUCGCGACUGACCACGACCACCGCGGGGGACGCCACGAGUAAUGGCGCCACGGAGCCCCUCACCACAGGCCCCACAGGGACAACUCUCCCCACGUCACAGCCACACGCGGCCCCGUCACACGCUGCCCAGACUUCGCAAAGUCCCUCAACACAAAAGACCACGCUCCAGCCCCCGCUCACCCCUCCCAGAGGCAACACCCUGCCAGCCUUCUCACAGAGAAGCCCUGCCAACACUGCCAGGUCCCCAGACUCAGGUGUGAGCAGGGAGGGCCACGCGGCGGCCAGUCCUGAGUAUUCCAGCGUCAUCCUGCCUGUGGUGAUCGCCCUCAUUGUGAUCACACUGUCCGUGUUCGCACUGGUGGGUCUGUACCGCCUGUGCCGGAGGACGCAGCCAGGCCCCCUCAGUCCGACAGGGAGAGCGUGAAGCUCCUCACGGUGAAGACCAUCUCCCACGAGCCCGGCGAGCGCCCCAAAGGCAAGAACUAAGGCCAGAGCCCCCCACGGCUGCCCACGUGCUGCCCGUCCCCCCUCCUGCGGGAGCAGCUGUCCCGGGCUGAGCCCUGCCUUCUGUCGCCACUCCGGCCUGGCUGCCAGCCCCACCGUGAAGCCCGGGGCGCCCAGAGGGACAGCCAGGGACAUCCUGGGAGAGCGAGGGGCCAUCCCAGCCCCGCUCUGGACGCAUCGUCCACCAGACUCUGGACUCACUGUCCCCCGUGGUGGGAACGAUGGUGUGAAACUGUACCCCAUUAAACCAAUAUUAAAUCACUAAUAAGAAUUGUAAAGAUGUGGAUGAGCAGUCAAGGAAUGGCAACACAGACAGAGUUCAGGCACGUGAGAGACAGUCACUGGGAGGACUCGCGCAAAGGGGCCGCAGAGACCGGCCUCCAGGAGCAGCGCUCUUCAGGGUUUAGCAGCAGUGACUGCAGCUGGCUGGCGUGAGAGCGCUGCAGAGCUGACGGGGCUGGGCACACCUCAGAGGACGGCCUCAUGCGCUGUGAGCCCUGCAGCAGACCCUGCGUCUCUCACUCCCUGUCUGUCUCUGACCUUCUACUGGGGUGGGGCAGCGGCAGGCAGUGGAGCACCUAGUUAAGUACUCGUAGUAAGAAGCGCGAGCAACGGUGUAAGGACCCCGGUUCUAGCCCCCACUCCCCAGCUGCGGG